GUGGGGAAUAUUGGACAAUGGGCGAAAGCCUGAUCCAGCCAUGCCGCGUGAGUGAUGAAGGCCUUAGGGUUGUAAAGCUCUUUCAGUAGGGAAGAUAAUGACGGUACCUACAGAAGAAGCCCCGGCUAACUUCGUGCCAGCAGCCGCGGUAAUACGAAGGGGGCUAGCGUUGUUCGGAUUUACUGGGCGUAAAGCGCACGUAGGCGGAUUGGUCAGUUAGAGGUGAAAUCCUGGAGCUCAACUCCAGAACUGCCUUUAAUACUGCCAGUCUAGAGUCCAGAAGGGGUGAGUGGAACUCCUAGUGUAGAGGUGGAAUUCGUAGAUAUUAGGAAGAACACCAGUGGCGAAGGCGGCUCACUGGUCUGGUACUGACGCUGAGGUGCGAAAGCGUGGGGAGCAAACAGGAUUAGAUACCCGUGUAGUCC
rnacentral:rRNA from 1 species